rnacentral:rRNA from 1 species
CCUACGGGUGGCAGCAGUGGGGAAUAUUGCACAAUGGGGGAAACCCUGAUGCAGCGACGCCGCGUGAGUGAAGAAGUAAUUCUUUAUGUAAAGCUCUAUCAGCAGGGAAGAAAAUGACGGUACCUGAGUAAUAAUGCCCGGCUAACUACGUGCCAGCAGCCGCGGUACUACGUAGGGGGCAAGCGUUAUCCGGAUUUACUGGGUGUAAAGGGAGCGUAGACGGCAGGGCAAGUCUGGAGUGAAAGGCGGGGGCUCAACCCCCGGACUGCUCUGAAAACUGUACGGCUGGAGUGCAGGAGAGGUAAGUGGAAUGCAUAGUGUAGCGGUGAAAUGCGUAGAUAUUAGGAGGAACACCAGUGGCGAAGGCGGCUUACUGGACUGUAACUGACGUUGAGGCUCGAAAGCGUGGGGAGCAAACAGGAUUAGAUACCCCUGUAGUC